UUAUUAUUUCUAAUUUGAAUA
rnacentral:piRNA from 1 species